rnacentral:rRNA from 1 species
AGAGUUUGAUCAUGGCUCAGGAUGAACGCUAGCUACAGGCUUAACACAUGCAAGUCGAGGGGAAACGAUAGAGAAAGCUUGCUUUUUCUAGGCGUCGACCGGCGCACGGGUGAGUAACGCGUAUCCAACCUGCCCACCACUUGGGGAUAACCUUGCGAAAGUAAGACUAAUACCCAAUGACGUCUCUAGAAGGCAUCUGAAAGGGAUUAAAGAUUUAUCGGUGAUGGAUGGGGAUGCGUCUGAUUAGCUUGUUGGCGGGGUAACGGCCCACCAAGGCAACGAUCAGUAGGGGUUCUGAGAGGAAGGUCCCCCACAUUGGAACUGAGACACGGUCCAAACUCCUACGGGAGGCAGCAGUGAGGAAUAUUGGUCAAUGGGCGAGAGCCUGAACCAGCCAAGUAGCGUGCAGGAUGACGGCCCUAUGGGUUGUAAACUGCUUUUAUAAGGGAAUAAAGUGAGCCUCGUGAGGCUUUUUGCAUGUACCUUAUGAAUAAGGACCGGCUAAUUCCGUGCCAGCAGCCGCGGUAAUACGGAAGGUCCGGGCGUUAUCCGGAUUUAUUGGGUUUAAAGGGAGCGUAGGCCGGAGAUUAAGCGUGUUGUGAAAUGUAGGUGCUCAACAUCUGCACUGCAGCGCGAACUGGUUUCCUUGAGUACGCACAAAGUGGGCGGAAUUCGUGGUGUAGCGGUGAAAUGCUUAGAUAUCACGAAGAACUCCGAUUGCGAAGGCAGCUCACUGGAGCGCAACUGACGCUGAAGCUCGAAAGUGCGGGUAUCGAACAGGAUUAGGUACCCUGGUAGUCCGCACGGUAAACGAUGGAUGCCCGCUGUUGGUCUGAAUAGGUCAGCGGCC